rnacentral:tRNA from 1 species
GCCCGGUUAGCUCAAUCGGUAGAGGUUAGUUGGAUAUUCACAAUAUCUUCCUUUCAAACACACGAUACUAACCGUAUGAAUAGCGUGAGACUCUUAAUCUCAAGGUUGCGGGUUCGACCCCCGCAUCGGGCU